UACGGAGGGUGCGAGCGUUGUCCGGAAUCACUGGGCGUAAAGGGCGCGUAGGCGGCCUGGCAAGUCGAUGGUGAAAGCCCCGAGCUCAACUUCGGGUCGGCCACUUGAUACUGCUGGGCUUGAGUCGACUAGAGGCAGAUGGAAUUCCGGGUGUAGCGGUGGAAUGCGUAGAGAUCCGGAAGAACACCGGUGGCGAAGGCGGUCUGCUGGGGUC
rnacentral:rRNA from 1 species